rnacentral:rRNA from 1 species
UGGUGAUUAUGGCCAUGAGGUUAUACCCGUUCCCAUCCCGAACACGGAAGUCAAGCUCAUGUGCGCCGAUGGUACUGCCAUGGUGGGAGAGUAGGUCGUCGCCAGUU